AGUGAACGCUGGCGGUAGGCCUAACACAUGCAAGUCGAACGGCAGCACAGGAGAGCUUGCUCUCUGGGUGGCGAGUGGCGGACGGGUGAGGAAUACAUCGGAAUCUGCCCAGUCGUGGGGGAUAACGUAGGGAAACUUACGCUAAUACCGCAUACGACCUUCGGGUGAAAGAGGGGGAUCGCAAGACCUCUCGCGAUUGGAUGAGCCGAUGUCGGACUAGCUAGUUGGCGGGGUAAUGGCCCACCAAGGCGACGAUCCGUAGCUGGUCUGAGAGGAUGAUCAGCCACACUGGAACUGAGACACGGUCCAGACUCCUACGGGAGGCAGCAGUGGGGAAUAUUGGACAAUGGGCGCAAGCCUGAUCCAGCCAUACCGCGUGGGUGAAGAAGGCCUUCGGGUUGUAAAGCCCUUUUGUUGGGAAAGAAAUCUUUCAGGCUAAUACCCUGGGAGGAUGACGGUACCCAAAGAAUAAGCACCGGCUAACUUCGUG
rnacentral:rRNA from 1 species